rnacentral:lncRNA from 1 species
CAAGGCUUCAGUAGCGCUUCACAGAAUUACUUUGGUAGCGUAUUUUAAUGUUUCAUUUUGCUUAUGAUCAUUUUUAGUCUGCAGUUUUAAUGUAUUGUGCACGCUUACUUGCUUUGUAUAAUAAUAAUAGGUAACAACAGUAGAGCAUAAUAGCCAUUGCAUAAUAAAAUUAACUAAACAGCUUCAAUAAAAAUGAUCAUAAUGUAUUACAGUGAAAGAAAACAAUGAAAUGAAAUAGAAAUAAACAUGAAUUCAAAUAA